rnacentral:rRNA from 1 species
UGGGGAAUAUUGCACAAUGGGCGAAAGCCUGAUGCAGCAACGCCGCGUGAGUGAUGAAGGCCUUCGGGUUGUAAAAGCUCUGUCUUUUGGGACGAUAAUGACGGUACCAAAGGAGGAAGCCACGGCUAACUACGUGCCAGCAGCCGCGGUAAUACGUAGGUGGCAAGCGUUGUCCGGAUUUACUGGGCGUAAAGGAUGCGUAGGCGGAUUUUUAAGUGAGAUGUGAAAACCCUAAGCUUAACUUGGGGACUGCAUUUCAUACUGGAAAUCUAGAGUGCGGGAGAGGAGAAUGGAAUUCCUAGUGUAGCGGUGAAAUGCGUAGAGAUUAGGAAGAACACCAGUGGCGAAGGCGAUUCUCUGGACCGUAACUGACGCUGAGGCAUGAAAGCAGUGGGUAGCAAACAGGAUUAGAUACCCUGGUAGUCCACGCCGUAAACGAUGAGUACUAGGUGUAGGAGGUAUCGACCCCUUCUGUGCCGCAGUUAACACAAUAAGUACUCCGCCUGGGAAGUACGAUCGCAAGAUUAAAAACUUAAAGGAAUU